UACAGAGGUCCCCGAGCGUUGUUCGGUAUUCGAUUAGGGCGUAAAGGGUGUGUAGGAGGUUUGGUAAGUCAGGCGUGAAAUCUCACCGCUCAACGGUGAAACUGCGCUCGAUACUGCCGAGCUAGAGGAUCGGAGGGGAAGCGGAAUCUUGGUGUAGCAGUGAAAUGCGUAGAUAUCAAGAGGAACGCCGGUGGCGAAGGCGGCUUCCUGGAAGAUUCCUGACUCUGAAACNCGAAAGCUA
rnacentral:rRNA from 1 species